GUGAACAAGAGCCACAUUCUAACUGAAUCGUACAUGAGGGCUCAAGGACUACACUUUGCCUAGGCACAGGGCAAAGUGAGGAGAGAAGGGACACACAGAGCAAUUCACAACUGCUCCCUCUGUGUAUUCCCAGGAGACAGGAAGGAGAAAGGGCCAUGACAUCUUUCGGUGGUGCAGGGAGAACAGGGAUAUUGGCUCCAAACUAGAAGGAAGAAGUGCCACCUGCUGAAUUGCUACCAUCACUUCCUACAACUCCUAAGUUUUUUCUUGGAAAUCUGCCUUUCAAAUGAGUACCCAGCUGGUUUUCUCCCAGACUUCUUCUGGUAAUGUAGAACAGAGGGUUGCAGUGGAUGAUGUGAGAAUCCUAGUUCAGGGGUCUUUUCCACUGGAGGGGUAUCCACAGUACAAGAGGAUACCAUGACAUCAUCUGGAAGGCGAGUCCAACUAUAGGAUUGUUUCCCUCCGCUCCAUUUUGAUGUUCUCCUUCCCUGAGAUUUUCAUCCUCCUCAACAGCACAGAGUGCAUCAAGCAAUGACACAGAACCUGUCAGACUCAGGGGGCUAGGAGGAGAGUUGCUCUACUAUGUCCUGGAAAGUCUUGUUUAUGUGCUGCUCCGUCUCCCUUAGCUCCUCCACUUCAGCCACUUUGUCCUCAAGAGCCUGUACUUGGUCUCUGAGGGCCAUGUGCUGCUUCCACCAAGUGCAUGCAUACGCCACUGACCCACAAAGCAGGUAAUCAUACAUGCUUCAUACAGUGCAAUAAACCAGAUAGCCCUCAUCCUGCUUCUGGACUUCUGCCUGCAUUAUUUUUACUUUUGCAGCCUUUUUUAUUUUUUGG